rnacentral:rRNA from 1 species
AUUGAACGCUGGCGGCAGGCCUAACACAUGCAAGUCUAACGAGUGGCGGACGGGUGAGUAAUGUCUGGGAAACUGCCUGAUGGAGGGGGAUAACUACUGGAAACGGUAGCUAAUACCGCAUACCAUCGGAUGUGCCCAUAUGGGCGUAGCUAGUAGGUGGGGUAAAGGAUCACCUAGGCGACGAUCCCUAGCUGGUCUGAGAGGAUGACCAGCCACACUGGAACGGUGAAACGGUCCAGACUACUACGGGAGUCAGCAGUGGGGAAUAUUGCACAAUGGGCGCAAGCCUGAUGCAGCCAUGCCGCGUGUAGGAAGAAGGCCUUCGGGUUGUAAAGUACUUUCAGCGGGGAGGCGUUACCCGCAGAAGAAGCACCGGCUAACUCCGUGCCAGCAGCCGCGGUAAUUC